rnacentral:pre_miRNA from 1 species
AUCACCUGGGAAUCUUGUUAAAAUGCAGAUUCUGAUUCAGUAAGUAGGGCCUGAGAUUCUGCAUUUCUAAAGAGCUCCCAGGUGAUGCUGA